rnacentral:rRNA from 2 species
UCGAGCGGACUUAAAAAGCUUGCUUUUUAAGUUAGCGGCGGACGGGUGAGUAACACGUGGGCAACCUGCCUGUAAGACUGGGAUAACUUCGGGAAACCGGAGCUAAUACCGGAUAAUCCUUUUCUACUCAUGUAGAAAAGCUGAAAGACGGUUUACGCUGUCACUUACAGAUGGGCCCGCGGCGCAUUAGCUAGUUGGUGAGGUAACGGCUCACCAAGGCGACGAUGCGUAGCCGACCUGAGAGGGUGAUCGGCCACACUGGGACUGAGACACGGCCCAGACUCCUACGGGAGGCAGCAGUAGGGAAUCUUCCGCAAUGGACGAAAGUCUGACGGAGCAACGCCGCGUGAGUGAUGAAGGUUUUCGGAUCGUAAAACUCUGUUGUUAGGGAAGAACAAGUACGAGAGUAACUGCUCGUACCUUGACGGUACCUAACCAGAAAGCCACGGCUAACUACGUGCCAGCAGCCGCGGUAAUACGUAGGUGGCAAGCGUUGUCCGGAAUUAUUGGGCGUAAAGCGCGCGCAGGCGGUCCUUUAAGUCUGAUGUGAAAGCCCACGGCUCAACCGUGGAGGGUCAUUGGAAACUGGGGGACUUGAGUGCAGAAGAGAAGAGUGGAAUUCCACGUGUAGCGGUGAAAUGCGUAGAGAUGUGGAGGAACACCAGUGGCGAAGGCGACUCU